GUUUGUACUAAGUUAAACCGUUCUGACUUCUCGUAGUGAUAUAUUCAACGGAAUAUUGUGGUUAGUGCGAACUCAUCCGUCAGUAGUCCAAUCCAUACUAUUUUUGGGAUGGACAAUAAAGCGAUGCAGACUUAGUUUAAAGACCGUCUGCAGUUAGUCCGCAACAGUUUUCUUUUAUUUUUGGGGGUCCGCAUCAUUACGGACUAUAAUUUGUGAAUGAUAAAUAAAAAGCGAUCCAAUGUAUAGACGCUUUUGUCCGCUUAGACAACUGUAAACAUUGAUAUAUUCUCUAACUUGUCAGUAGUUUAUUCUCUAAAGCCUACAUUAAU
rnacentral:sRNA from 1 species